rnacentral:rRNA from 1 species
GAUGAACGCUGGCGGCGUGCCUAAUACAUGCAAGUCGAGCGAACAGACGAGGAGCUUGCUCCUCUGACGUUAGCGGCGGACGGGUGAGUAACACGUGGAUAACCUACCUAUAAGACUGGGAUAACUUCGGGAAACCGGAGCUAAUACCGGAUAAUAUAUUGAACCGCAUGGUUCAAUAGUGAAAGACGGUUUUGCUGUCACUUAUAGAUGGAUCCGCGCCGCAUUAGCUAGUUGGUAAGGUAACGGCUUACCAAGGCAACGAUGCGUAGCCGACCUGAGAGGGUGAUCGGCCACACUGGAACUGAGACACGGUCCAGACUCCUACGGGAGGCAGCAGUAGGGAAUCUUCCGCAAUGGGCGAAAGCAUGACGGAGCAACGCCGCGUGAGUGAUGAAGGUCUUCGGAUAGUAAAACUCUGUUAUUAGGGAAGAACAAAUGUGUAAGUAACUAUGCACGUCUUGACGGUACCUAAACAGAAAGCCACGGCUAACUACGUG